ACUUGAUAUUGCAUUUCCUAUAAAGAGGUGGCUUAGAUGCAUUUCAUAGGAUUAGCCUUGAAUUGGAGUUUAACAGUAAAUGGUUGAAUAUAGUACUGCCUAAACCCAACACAAACUAAUCUGCUAUGCAAUUGCCUGGGAAGUUGGGACUAAAUACAAGCCUGUGAGUGCCUUGGACUGGGCUUUAUGUCCCAGCCCAAUAAGGUAUGCCAAGAAGGUAACA
rnacentral:misc_RNA from 1 species